AACGAACGCUGGCGGCAUGCCUAACACAUGCAAGUCGAACGAGACCUUCGGGUCUAGUGGCGCACGGGUGCGUAACGCGUGGGAACCUGCCCUUAGGUUCGGAAUAACUCCCCGAAAGGGGUGCUAAUACCGGAUAAUGUCUUCGGACCAAAGAUUUAUCGCCUUUGGAUGGGCCCGCGUUGGAUUAGCUAGUUGGUAGGGUAAAAGCCUACCAAGGCGACGAUCCAUAGCUGGUCUGAGAGGAUGAUCAGCCACACUGGGACUGAGACACGGCCCAGACUCCUACGGGAGGCAGCAGUGGGGAAUAUUGGACAAGGGGCGAAAGCCUGAUCCAGCAAUGCCGCGUGAGUGAUGAAGGCCUUAGGGUUGUAAAGCUCAUUUACCCGGGAUGAUAAUGACAGUACCGGGAGAAUAAGCGCCGGCUAACUCCGUG
rnacentral:rRNA from 1 species